UAGGGAAUCUUCCGCAAUGGACGCAAGUCUGACGGAGCAACGCCGCGUGAGUGAAGAAGGAUUUCGGUUCGUAAAACUCUGUUGUUAGAGAAGAACAGCGCAUAGAGUAACUGUUAUGCGUGUGACGGUAUCUAACCAGAAAGCCACGGCUAACUACGUGCCAGCAGCCGCGGUAAUACGUAGGUGGCAAGCGUUGUCCGGAUUUAUUGGGCGUAAAGCGAGCGCAGGCGGUCAAUUAAGUCUGAUGUGAAAGCCCCCGGCUCAACCGGGGAGGGUCAUUGGAAACUGGUUGACUUGAGUGCAGAAGAGGAGAGUGGAAUUUCAUGUGUAGCGGUGAAAUGCGUAGAUAUAUGGAGGAACACCAGUGGCGAAGGCGACUCUCUGGUCUGUAACUGACGCGGAGGCUCGAAAGCGUGGGUAGCAAACAGG
rnacentral:rRNA from 1 species